ACGGAAGGCAGCAGUGAGGAAUAUUGGUCAAUGGGCGCAAGCCUGAACUAGCCAAGUAGCGUGAGGGAUGACUGCCCUACGGGUUGCAAACCUCUUUUGUUUGGGAAUAAAGGAGCCUACGCGUAGGCUUUUGCAUGUACCUUUCGAAUAAGCAUCGGCUAAUUCCGUGCCAGCAGCCGCGGUAAUACGGAAGAUGCGAGCGUUAUCCGGAUUUAUUGGGUUUAAAGGGAGCGUAGGCGGCCGGUUAAGUCUGCGGUCAAAUGUCAGGGCCCAACCUUGGCAUGCCGUGGAUACUGUCCGGCUUGAGUGCACACAAGGAAGGUGGAAUUCGUCGUGUAGCGGUGAAAUGCUUAGAUAUGACGAAGAACUCCGAUUGCGAAGGCAGCCUUCUGGGGUGUUACUGACGCUGAGGCUCGAAAGUGCGGGAAUCAAACAGGAUUAGAUACCCUGGUA
rnacentral:rRNA from 1 species